UAGGGAAUAUUGGACAAUGGGGGCAACCCUGAUCCAGCCAUGCCGCGUGAGUGAAGAAGGCCCUCGGGUUGUAAAGCUCUUUUGUCCGGAAAGAAAAGCUUCGGGUUAAUACCCCGGGGUUCUUACGGUAACGGGAGAAUAAGCACCGGCUAACUUCGUUCCCGGAACUGCGGUAAUACGAAGGGUGCAAGCGUUACUCGGAAUUAAUGGGCGUAAAGCGUGCGUAGGUGGUUGUUUAAGUCUGAUGUGAAAGCCCUGGGCUCAACCUGGGAAUGGCAUUGGAAACUGGGCAACUAGAGUGCGGUAGAGGGUAGUGGAAUUCCCGGUGUAGCAGUGAAAUGCGUAGAGAUCGGGAGGAACAUCUGUGGCGAAGGCGACUGCCUGGACCAGCACUGACACUGAGGCACGAAAGCGUGGGGAGCAAACA
rnacentral:rRNA from 1 species